GGUUCCAUAGUGUAGCACUUAGCACAUCUACUUUACACUCAGAAGGUUCUGGGUUCAUGACCCAGUGGAGCCA
rnacentral:tRNA from 1 species